ensembl:lncRNA
CACGGAAAGGCCCCAUUAAUAGCACAGGCAGAGUAAAUCAGGAUGCUUCCAGAUGGCAAAGGGGGAAGGUUCUCAUGGGAAGACAGCCAUCCAGCCACACGCUCCAGAAAGCCGCCUGCUGUUGCGCAGUACAGGAAGCCACCGCACCGUGUGUGCUCCAGGCACGUCUCACCAACAACCCGUGCUUCUCCUGAGCUCCCAUCCUGCCCUAAGGAGCUUUAACCAACAGCCUGAAAGAAAUAUCCUGCAGCCCAGCCAUGUAACAGCACACAGUGUCAUUGGGAGAGUACUUCCCUUUCCAUGCAGCUGCUGCGGUCUCUCUUUUGUUACUGGAAGCACUGCUGUGCCUUAUGAGCCAUAGUUCAUCACUGGAAAUGAAUCUGGAGUUACAACAAAACCAAAAGUCGGAGUCAUGAGUCAAACG